GGAUGUUACAUGUUACCAAGAAACGCCUCAAGCAAACCGCCAGAAAAGUUAUGUUAGUGUAUGCUAGUCGGUGUUUAGCAAGCCAAAACAACAAAGAAGUGGUCAGAAGAGGAAGGAAAAUAUCUACCAAGAUGAGUGAACUGCUAAACUGACAAAGUUGUCGUUUUUAAAUCCGUUUUUCGUCGGUUGAAAACGUUAGCAAUGUUGACGUCAAGCCGGAGGCUAACGUUAGCUCGACGUUGCCACCUAGCUAAACAAGAGAAGCUGCACCGGCAGAGCUGCGACGCCCUCAAACUCUCCAGGGACUUUUACUGCUGCUGCCUCAGAGAUCGGACUGAGGCAGGAUUCUUCAAGCUCAGGGCGAUGAAAAUUUAUUUGAGGAGCAGCAUGCGACAAGAAGGACUCAGUGGAUUGGCUGUACUUGCAACAGAGAACGGCAGAGCCAGGAGUUUGGACGCAGAGUCCGUUGGAUGCACUUACAGUGGCUUUUUGCUGAUUACUGCUGACAAUCUGUGCGCUCCAGUCUGGCCCGUGUUUCUCUGUUGGAAAAAUGGAUUUACUGCCUUCAGCUGACGAAGGAGUUGCUGCUCCCAAGGGACAGAGUUCAGAUUCAUGUCCAUGAGUGAAGGGCCACGGUGCUAUGUCAGACAUCUCAGCCCAGAGGGGAGGUGACACCAUCAGGAACAAAGGAAGCAACAUCGUCAGCUAAACUGAGGAAGGCAGCAAUCCACCAUUGUUUUGUCAACUUCCAGUCUUAAAGAGGAAGACGAAGCUGAACCUUUACCUGAGGACCUAGAAUGGAGGUAAUUCAUUACGUUGAAGAGUGUUUGCAGUAUUUAGAGUACUGUACUGGGAAACUGGCCCAACUGCUGAAAUAUAGUGUGUUUGAAAAAGCAGCUGGUAAUAUAAAACCUUGAUUAACAAAGUGUUACUGUAACAGACCAAAUGAAUUAAUCCUCCUGACGUCUGACAUUGAA